rnacentral:rRNA from 1 species
UACGUAGGCAGCGAGCGUUGUUCGGAGUUACUGGGCGUAAAGCGUGCGUAGGCGGUUUUCUAAGUUUGGUGUGAAAUCUCCCGGCUUAACUGGGAGGGUGCGCCUAAAACUGGAAGGCUUGAGUAUGGGGGAGGUAAGCGGAAUUCCUGGUGUAGCGGUGAAAUGCGCAGAUAUCAGGAGGAACACCGGUGGCGAAGGCGGGUCUCUGGGCAACAACUGACGCUGAGGAGCGAAAGCGUGGGGAGCGAACAGG